GUUUCUAUAGUUAAGUGUUAGUAACGGCGGCUUUUCGGGCCGCAGACCUUGGGUAAGGACCAAGUGGAAACU
rnacentral:tRNA from 1 species